rnacentral:rRNA from 1 species
GGUGAGUAACACGUGGGUGAUCUGCCCUGCACUCUGGGAUAAGCCUGGGAAACUGGGUCUAAUACCGGAUAUGACCAUUCCAUGCAUGUGGGGUGGUGGAAAGAUUUAUCGGUGCAGGAUGGGCCCGCGGCCUAUCAGCUUGUUGGUGGGGUAAUGGCCUACCAAGGCGACGACGGGUAGCCGACCUGAGAGGGUGACCGGCCACACUGGGACUGAGACACGGCCCAGACUCCUACGGGAGGCAGCAGUGGGGAAUAUUGCACAAUGGGCGGAAGCCUGAUGCAGCGACGCCGCGUGAGGGAUGAAGGCCUUCGGGUUGUAAACCUCUUUCAGCAGGGACGAAGCGUGAGUGACGGUACCUGCAGAAGAAGCACCGGCUAACUACGUGCCAGCAGCCGCGGUAAUACGUAGGGUGCGAGCGUUGUCCGGAAUUACUGGGCGUAAAGAGUUCGUAGGCGGUUUGUCGCGUCGUUUGUGAAAACCCGGGGCUCAACUUCGGGCUUGCAGGCGAUACGGGCAGACUUGAGUGUUUCAGGGGAGACUGGAAUUCCUGGUGUAGCGGUGAAAUGCGCAGAUAUCAGGAGGAACACCGGUGGCGAAGGCGGGUCUCUGGGAAACAACUGACGCUGAGGAACGAAAGCGUGGGUAGCAAACAGGAUUAGAUACCCUGGUAGUCCACGCCGUAAACGGUGGGCGCUAGGUGUGGGUUCCUUCCACGGGAUCUGUGCCGUAGCUAACGCAU